rnacentral:rRNA from 1 species
CCAAUAGCGUAUAUUAAAGUUGUUGCAGUUAAAAAGCUCGUAGUUGAAUUUCGGGGUCAGUAGGUUGGUCGUGCCACCGGUACGUACUGGUCUCACUGAUUCCUCCUUCCUGAUGAGCUGUAAUGCCAUUAAUUUGGUGUUGCAGGGAAUCUGGACUGUUACUUUGAAAAAAUUAGAGUGUUUAAAGCAGGCUAACGCUUGAAUACAUUAGCAUGGAAUAAUGAAAUAGGACGUUCGAUCCUAUUUUGUUGGUUUCUAGGAUUGACGUAAUGAUUAAUAGGGAUAGUUGGGGGCAUUAGUAUUCAAUUGUCAGAGGUGAAAUUCUUGGAUUUAUUGAAGACUAACUACUGCGAAAGCAUUUGCCAAGGAUGUUUUCAUUAAUCAAGAACGAAAGUUAGGGGAUCGAAGACGAUCAGAUACCGUCGUAGUCUUAACCAUAAACUAUGCCGACUAGGGAUCGGAUGAUGUUAAUUUUUUAAUGACUCAUUCGGCGCCCUACG